CCAACUGAUCUGACGUGCUUGCGCUGAAGUGACGAUGGAUUACCAGUGAGCGGCGGACGGGUGAGUAACACGUGGGCAACCUGCCCUGAAGCGGGGGAUAACAUUUGGAAACAGGUGCUAAUACCGCAUAACAACGAAAACCACAUGGUUUUCGUUUCAAAGAUGGUUUCGGCUAUCACUUCAGGAUGGGCCCGCGGUGCAUUAGCUUGUUGGUAGGGUAACGGCCUACCAAGGCAAUGAUGCAUAGCCGAGUUGAGAGACUGAUCGGCCACAAUGGAACUGAGACACGGUCCAUACUCCUACGGGAGGCAGCAGUAGGGAAUCUUCCACAAUGGGCGCAAGCCUGAUGGAGCGACACCGCGUGUGUGAAGAAGGGUUUCGGCUCGUAAAGCUCUGUUGUUGAAGAAGAACGUGCGUGAGAGCAACUGUUCACGCAGUGACGGUAUUCAACCAGAAAGUCACGGCUAACUACGUGCCAGCAGCCGCGGUAAUACGUAGGUGGCAAGCGUUAUCCGGAUUUAUUGGGCGUAAAGCGAGCGCAGGCGGUUGCUUAAGUCUGAUGUGAAAGCCUUCGGCUUAACCGAAGAAGUGCAUCGGAAACUGAGCGACUUGAGUGCAGAAGAGGACAGUGGAACUCCAUGUGUAGCGGUGGAAUGCGUAGAUAUAUGGAAGAACACCAGUGGCGAAGGCGGCUGUCUGGUCUGCAACUGACGCUGAGGCUCGAAAGCAUGGGUAGCGAACAGGAUUAGAUACCCUGGUAGUCCAUGCCGUAAACAAUGAGUGCUAGGUGUUGGAGGGUUUCCGCCCUUC
rnacentral:rRNA from 1 species